UACGAAGGGGGCUAGCGUUGCUCGGAAUCACUGGGCGUAAAGCGCACGUAGGCGGAUUGAUAGUCAGGGGUGAAAUCCUGGAGCUCAACUCCAGAACUGCCUUUGAUACUGGCGAUCUCGAGUCCGGGAGAGGUGAGUGGAACUGCGAGUGUAGAGGUGAAAUUCGUAGAUAUUCGCAAGAACACCAGUGGCGAAGGCGGCUCACUGGUCCGGUACUGACGCUGAGGUGCGAAAGCGUGGGGAGCAAACAGG
rnacentral:rRNA from 1 species